rnacentral:rRNA from 1 species
UGAGGAAUAUUGGUCAAUGGACGAGAGUCUGAACCAGCCAAGUAGCGUGAAGGAUGACUGCCCUAUGGGUUGUAAACUUCUUUUAUAUGGGAAUAAAGUGAGCCACGUGUGGCUUUUUGUAUGUACCAUACGAAUAAGGAUCGGCUAACUCCGUGCCAGCAGCCGCGGUAAUACGGAGGAUCCGAGCGUUAUCCGGAUUUAUUGGGUUUAAAGGGAGCGUAGGCGGACUAUUAAGUCAGCUGUGAAAGUUUGCGGCUCAACCGUAAAAUUGCAGUUGAUACUGGUCGUCUUGAGUGCAGUAGAGGUAGGCGGAAUUCGUGGUGUAGCGGUGAAAUGCUUAGAUAUCACGAAGAACUCCGAUUGCGAAGGCAGCUUACUGGACUGUAACUGACGCUGAUGCUCGAAAGUGUGGGUAUCAAACAGGAUUAGAUACCCUGGUAGUCCACACAGUAAACGAUGAAUACUCGCUGUUUGCGAUAUACAGCAAGCGGCCAAGCGAAAGCAUUAAGUAUUCCACCUGGGGAGUACGCCGGCAACGGUGAAACUCAAAGGAAUUGACGGGGGCCCGCACAAGCGGAGGAACAUGUGGUUUAAUUCGAUGAUACGCGAGGAACCUUACCCGGGCUUAAAUUGCAAAUGAAUAUAGUGGAAACAUUAUAGCCGCAAGGCAUUUGUGAAGGUGCUGCAUGGUUGUCGUCAGCUCGUGCCGUGAGGUGUCGGCUUAAGUGCCAUAACGAGCGCAACCCUUAUCUUUAGUUACUAACAGGUCAUGCUGAGGACUCUAGAGAGACUGCCGUCGUAAGAUGUGAGGAAGGUGGGGAUGACGUCAAAUCAGCACGGCCCUUACGUCCGGGGCUACACACGUGUUACAAUGGGGGGUACAGAAGGCAGCUACACAGCGAUGUGAUGCUAAUCCCAAAAGCCUCUCUCAGUUCGGAUUGGAGUCUGCAACCCGACUCCAUGAAGCUGGAUUCGCUAGUAAUCGCGCAUCAGCCACGGCGCGGUGAAUACAUUCCC